GAAGCCCUGAAUCAAGGCCCACAGCUUACUGUAGCUGUUGGUUUCAAACAGCGGCUAAUAUCAAAGUCUUCCAAUAGUCUUUUGACUUGCCCAUGACAUGUAAAUGGGUUUAGUCAGUUCAGUUUGAAGCAAUACUU